rnacentral:tRNA from 1 species
GCCGCAAUAGCUCAGCUGGUAGAGCACGUCAUUCGUAAUGAUGGGGCCGGGGGUUCGAAUCCCUCUUGCGGCACCA